rnacentral:sRNA from 1 species
AGGAACCCAGGAAGAGGCGAGAGAAUUCUGACCAGGCUUUGGAGCAAGUAGAAAGCGGCUGAGAGUCCCUCUUGAUGGGUUGGAAGUCACCUCUUGUCCUCGUCUUCCUCACCUAUACUCAACAUGGUUGCUUCAAAUGAUUUUACUUGUGGUCUCCUCUAUGCCAACUGUAGUUUUGAAACUGGAUGCAAACCUGAACAUAUCUGAGAAGGAGGAAUGUCACUGGAAGAACUGCUUCCCCUCCAUCAUUUUGUUCUGUAGGAUUUCAGACAGAGCAGGUGGUCCAUCCCGAUGUGGAAGAGUGCCUGCUGGGGCGCCUUCACUCCGUAGAGGCAGGUGUGUGUGGUUAGUGUUUAUCAUGCUGUGGCCAAACAGGCAACGAAGAAUGCCAGUGACAACCAGAAGCAGUGUGAGUUUCAAAGGCUCAUCCCUAAUUGCUUAUUUCCACCCACUAAGCCCAGUGUGCGAAAGGUUCCAAGACUUCCAAGGACAUAACCGCCAGCUAGGGAUUAGGUGUUUAAAAAUUCGAGCCUGUGGGAGACAUUCAGACAUAAACUACAGGGUGGACCCUAAGGAGAGUGCCUGUGUAUGGCAGGUGAGAGUCAGAAUUCAGCCACAGAGAUUGACAUGUCAACAGACUUUUCAGUGGUAUCAGCAGGGUCAGAACAAUUUUUUUUCUUUGCUAAAGCUAAUUUGAUUUAAGCUUGUAGAACUAGCAACUAAAAAUUGAUUAUUGCCUAUUGCCAUACAACUUAAAGCUCAAAUGACUCAACGAGUUAGAAAUUAGAAUUUACCUUUUCUCUAAGAAAAUGCAGGGAUGAGAAGAAUGUAGAAAAAUUUGACUCACUAUUUUCAGAGUUUCUUUAAUGUUAUUAUUGCAUCUUUAAAAAAUGAAGCAAUUAAGGAGCAAGUCAAGAAAAAAACGCAAAAGUUUAAGUAAACUUGAAAAAGAAACACUGGGUAAAACGUUUCAUUGAAGAGAUAAAAUAAAAAUAAUCACUUGAUAUUUAGCAUCUGAGGCUAUCUAUUUAUUCAACUCAUUUGAUAAUUUGUUGUGUACAUGGUCCUGGUACUAUGUAUGCGCUGGGUGCUUGGGUUAUACUAAGUAGACACAAAAUCCCAUGCUUGAAGAGUUGAUCUAUGAGAAAUAGGCAACAAUAGUAAAUACGAACAAUAAAUAAGAACAAUGAUAGGUUGCUAGGUAACAGAGAAAAAAUUAUUAUUCAUAGACUGUGAGAAGAAAGCAGUUUUGGAAUGAACUGGUAGAUACUCUCUUGCUUAGUCCCAUAGUGAAGUUAAGCUCUGAUAAGACUGGCAAAGAUUGGGCUCAAGACGGUGAGGAGAAGGGAGCAUCUGCAAGAGGUUUUAAGUAGAUCCAGGAUGCUGGAGAAAAGUCAGGAGUUGUGUAGAUCAACAGUAGGAGCUGCGUCCUAGAGACAAAAGCAGGACGCUUCCAGGAAAGGGUCCUGUAGGGUUUUGCAGUGAUUCCCAGGACUUUGUAUUCCAAUAAACAGGAAGCAGGAGGGUUGUCUGAAGUGGGAUCUGACGAGUUACACCCUGUUCACCCUGGCCCUUGGGCUGGUUAGAAGAACAGGAAAUAAAUGUAAAAGCCAAACUGUGAAGAAGCAGGCAAGCAAAUUUAAAGAACAAUGUAAAUUUUCAGUGGUCAUUUGAAGAGGUCAUAAUAACCACACAACAGAAGUUCCAGAAAGAGAAAAGAGAAGUUGGACAAGGGAAGUAAAUGACUAUAGAAAUCCUACAGAUGAGUUUUCUAUUGGCAAAUAAAAUAUAAAUCUACCCAAAAGUCUCACUGAGAUCUAUAAAAAUGAAGAAAAAAACUCAUGUCUGAAAUCAGGUUAAAUAAGUAAGUGCCUAUAUGCGUUUGAAGAGGAAAGCAACAAUGGUGAUUUCUCACAAAGGUAGGAUGAGAAUACCAGCAACAGCAGAGGCAGAACACAUUAGGGCUAAGUGUCCAAGUUUCAAAGAUCAAAUUAUUUUGAACUAACAAGUCCAUGCUCAAGUCAAUUUCAUAGAUGCCAGAGGACAAAUAAAGGUAUUUUCUGAUAUGGAAAGGUUCGACUAAACAAACUAGAUAAGAUGGAUGAAGCAAAGAAGUGCAGACCGACAGGAACCGGAUGUA